rnacentral:tRNA from 1 species
CGGAGAUAUGACAGUCAGAUACUUGACUGGGGGUCAAGGGGUCGCAGGUUCAAAUCCUGUCGUCCCGA